AUCCCCAUUAUCUGUGAAUACAUUUAUUUCUAAUCGAAUUCUUUGAGUUUUCAUUGUCUGCUUUCUGGACUCUGAGACUAAGUUUUCUCCUGGCACUAAAAUGUACAUGUAUCUCAACAUUUCAUGAUAACUUUUUGAGGUCGGCAAGUUUGUUAUCCCUUCCAACUUUAGACUCUGAUUAAAACUUUCACAGCUCGGCUUUGUCUUGAGGGACCAUUACUAACUUCACACGGUGUAUAUUUCCAAGUAUCCUUUUUGUAUCCUUCGAUGUCUUAAGAGCAGCUGUACUACACCUAUGUAAGCAUUUUCUCUUUUGUUUUCGAACUGCAGUUUUACUUGUUUAAUCCUUGUGAUCUUUCCCAGUUUUGUUCUUAGAUAGGUUAGAAUCUAAUAUAACCUUCUUUCUUUUAUUAUACCCGUAGAUGUUAUAGACAACAUAAAAUUCUAUGAAAGAUAGAUCCUACAAGUAGUUUAAGCUGUCACUUCAGUCCUAAAUGCCACAUGUUGCAUAACUUCACAUUUUUGUUCUUAUUUGAUCAUAUAUAAGAAAGUUGCCAUUGGUUUACUCUAACUAUAUAGCUGUUGCUUUUACUGGUAAAAUUAUAAUGGGCAGUUGUGAUUAAGGAAACAGUGUUAAGAAAAAUAAACUCUCAAGACAAAGCAGGUUUAAGAAGAUAAUAUAAUUUAAUUUUCUACAACUAGUAUGUCUUUUUUAAAAUCAAUCAACCUAUUCUUUGAUGAAUCUUAUGCUUUUUAAUUGCCAAAAAAAAGUGAAACUUGAGCGUUAAGAUAAUCCCUUCAACCUGUUUUCCGCCUUGAGUUUUGAUAAACAACUAAACCUAAAUCUAACACUGUGGUUAUUGCAUAACUAGAACCCUGUAACAACUAUAUCACAUAAUUUUUUGGUUCCUAAAGAGAUAUGUCAGACAGAUUAUCGUGCCAUGAUGGAGUAUUAGAGUUGCAACUGUUCUUUUGGAAUACACAACGUGCAAAUGGUAGAUUUUUUUUGUGCUGGAUAGCUGAAGAGAAUGAGUUCUGCAUUCUGGAUCAUCAAAUGGUUCAUAGAAAUCGUGAAGCACAACGAGAAAUUCUCACUUUCAUGCAAACUGUUCGUAUGACCUGUUCUUCCUUUUAACUUUGACAAUUGAGGUUAUUACAAUUUAUUAAUUUCUGAAAGUAUGGGGAAAUAUAGAAAAGAUUAUAAAGGAUUAAGUCCUGGUUGACUUUAUGUUAGCAUAUUAGAGUCAAUUGCUCCCAUCUCUUUUAGGUAGGUAGUUUCAAGUAUGCAAAAACUCUAAGUUCUAAUCUUGCUCCACUUGUAUCCAGCAUGUCUUCUAUAUUUAGGUUAUCCAAGCAUGGAAAUCAUGUUAAUUCUCCUCUUUGUUAGUUAAAGUUGUACUCUUCUUUAUAUUAGAAAAAUUCUUCUAUAUGUUAAUUAGUUCUCAUUGCAUUUCUAUGGGCACGGAUGUACUGAUUGCAAGAUGUAUGGGUUGGGUUAGUUCUUUUUUGUUCUUGAAAACUAAUCCUCCAGCCUGGUGACCAUACUACCCUUGGAUGUAGGACAGUACAUACAGAGCGGCAGAGCCAGUUGACGUUUUUGUUUUACUAAAACUACUAUUUCAUGUUUGAACUGUUCUUUAUGUUCUAUGCUGAUCUUUGAUCCACCCUUAUGUGUUUAGGAUGCUUUAUUUAACCAAUCAUUAUUCAAUCAAGUUUUUAGGUUUAUGAAAAGAACGCUAAUUUCCUCGAAGUUUUCAGCAAAUAUUCCUUUACGUCUUACAUGAUUCCUUAAUGACACAGUUUCUAAUGCAAAAAGUGCUGCUUUUGCUUUCCUAGUAACCUUUAUGUUGAUUUUUUGUCAUGCAUCUAGAGUUUCAUAGGAAUAUAAGUUUGCAGCAGCUAUAUUGUAAGUUGUGCUCAUGUUGUUCGUGACACCUGUUCAAAUGUUCUUGUUUCAUCUGUGUGGUUUCCAAAUGCAAAUGGUCUUCAUAUCAGACAAAUUCUUUUUACGCAUUUGGAAAAUACGGGCAUAAGCAUUAUGGUUUAUAUCUUGUAAGUGGCUGUAUCCAUUCUUAUCUGUUUUAAGUCCCAGUGAGAACAGCUUCCAUGUGGACAUGACUGAGAAGAGGAUUACCUCACCCAAACUUGAGCUAUAUAGAUUCCCCUAGUAUUAAAUGCUAUAGGAGUAGGAUAAAUGAUCAAUAAGAAUAAAGUGAAUUAAGACCACAAAUAAUUGAAGAUCCUUGAUUAUUGAAAGAUACACUUCAUCUUCUAGAGAAAGGCAUAUCAGAGUUCACACAGCAGCUGUGCCUGUGGUUGCAGAUUUGGGAGAUACAUAUAAAUGUACUGAUACUGGUGCCGCCAUUUCAUUGUUUUGUAGGUUAGCUAUUCAGUAAACUCUGUCCAACAAAUUGGAAGAAGCUCAAAGUUUUAUCCUGCUACAGAUUGUGAAGACUCUUUGAGAAUCUCAAAAUUUUAUUUAUGUGCAACAUCGCUUGGGAGGCAGGAUGUUUUAUCCCAGAGUGCUGAAAUAUUUGCCUUUGUAUGGGUUAUAACUUUGUAAGUCAACAUUUCCGCAUGGGGGAUAUAAUGACGAUAAGAUUGAGGAAUGUUGUGCAGAA